rnacentral:lncRNA from 1 species
ACAGAUAGGGAAACACACCAGCAGGGGCACGGAGCUUGCAGUCAGAAAGACUUCCGGGAAGACAGACUGGGGACUGGUCCAAGUUCCACCUGCAUGCUUUGGGAAGGACCACAGAGGACUGGGGGUGGUGGUGGCAGGAAAACUCUCACCUGAAAACUUCCCCACCGAUGUCUCAUUUAUCUCUUUUAAAAAAAAAAUUACAAAUGCAAAGAAGCACAACUUGGGAAAAUGCCACAGAGCCUGGAAAAUGCCAACCUCCAAGUCCUCAAACAACAGCCAGCUCAUCCCGGAAGAGGGCAUGGCUGUGCACAUGUGCACGUGCACACACAUAGGCACACAUGGAUACAGGCCGGGCUUUCAAAGUGGACAAAGAGAUGUUUGGGCGUUGCCAUGGUCAUUAACCUGCUUGUCAGCAAGUGCUCAUUGCAUUCCCAAGAUACAAGUGAACACUAAAGAGGAAAAGAAUAACCCAGAAUAAAACAGACUAAAGAGGGCGGGGGUAGCAGUUGUUGCAAAGUUCAGGCAAGCAGGCAGUGUUCCAGGAAUGGGUUGUUGCCUUGGAGAACCAUUAUAACAUGGAUCCAGCUCACAAGAGACUCGUGUGCUUAAAGACCUUUAAAGGCUCUCAUGCGGCUGUAUCCUUGACUGGCUGCAGAGCAGCCGUACCAAUCAGAUUCCUGCAUG